rnacentral:rRNA from 1 species
CAGCAGCCGCGGUAAAACGGAGGGUGCAAGCGUUAUCCGGAUUUAUUGGGUUUAAAGGGUCCGUAGGCGGACUUAUAAGUCAGUGGUGAAAGCCUGUCGCUUAACGAUAGAACUGCCAUUGAUACUGUAAGUCUUGAGUAUAUUUGAGGUAGCUGGAAUAAGUAGUGUAGCGGUGAAAUGCAUAGAUAUUACUUAGAACACCAAUUGCGAAGGCAGGUUACCAAGAUAUAACUGACGCUGAGGGACGAAAGCGUGGGUAGCGAACAGGAUUAGAUACCCCAGUAGUCCCUGUCUCUUAUAC